AUUGAACGCUGGCGGCAUGCCUUACACAUGCAAGUCGAACGGCAGCACGGGGCAACCUGGUGGCGAGUGGCGAACGGGUGAGUAAUGCAUCGGAACGUACCUUUCAGUGGGGGAUAACGUAGCGAAAGUUACGCUAAUACCGCAUAUUCUGUGAGCAGGAAAGCAGGGGAUCGCAAGACCUUGCGCUGAUUGAGCGGCCGAUGUCAGAUUAGCUAGUUGGUGAGGUAAAGGCUCACCAAGGCGACGAUCUGUAGCGGGUCUGAGAGGAGGAUCCGCCACACUGGAACUGAGACACGGUCCAGACUCCUACGGGAGGCAGCAGUGGGGAAUUUUGGACAAUGGGGGCAACCCUGCUCCAGCCAUGCCGCGUGAGUGAAGAAGGCCUUCGGGUUGUAAAGCUCUUUCGGCCGGGAAGAAAUCGCACGGGCUAAUACCCUGUGUGGAUGACGGUACCGGAAUAAGAAGCACCGGCUAACUACGUGCCAGCAGCCGCCGCAAGAC
rnacentral:rRNA from 1 species